rnacentral:rRNA from 1 species
UACGGAGGGUGCGAGCGUUAAUCGGAAUUACUGGGCGUAAAGGGUGCGUAGGUGGUUGAUUAAGUUAUCUGUGAAAUUCCUGGGCUUAACCUGGGACGGUCAGAUAAUACUGGUUGACUCGAGUAUGGGAGAGGGUAGUGGAAUUUCCGGUGUAGCGGUGAAAUGCGUAGAGAUCGGAAGGAACACCAGUGGCGAAGGCGGCUACCUGGCCUAAUACUGACAAUGAGGCACGAAAGCGUGAGGAGCAAACAGG